AACGAACGCUGGCGGCAGGCCUAACACAUGCAAGUCGAGCGAACCCUUCGGGGUUAGCGGCGGACGGGUUAGUAACGCGUGGGAAUAUACCCUUUGGUACGGAAUAGCCUCGGGAAACUGAGAGUAAUACCGUAUGUGCCCUUCGGGGGAAAGAUUAUCGCCAAAGGAUUAGCCCGCGUUGGAUUAGAUAGUUGGUGGGGUAAUGGCCUACCAAGUCUACGAUCCAUAGCUGGUUUGAGAGGAUGAUCAGCAACACUGGGACUGAGACACGGCCCAGACUCCUACGGGAGGCAGCAGUGGGGAAUCUUAGACAAUGGGCGCAAGCCUGAUCUAGCCAUGCCGCGUGGACGAUGAAGGCCUUAGGGUUGUAAAGUCCUUUCAGAUGGGAAGAUAAUGACGGUACCAUCAGAAGAAGCCCGGCUAACUCCGUG
rnacentral:rRNA from 1 species